rnacentral:rRNA from 1 species
UACGUAGGGUGCGAGCGUUGAUCGGAAUUACUGGGCGUAAAGCGUGCGCAGGCGGCGCGUUAAGACAGGUGUGAAAGCCCCGAGCUUAACUUGGGAAUUGCGCUUGUGACUGGCGGGCUGGAGUGUGGCAGAGGGAGGUGGAAUUCCACGUGUAGCAGUGAAAUGCGUAGAGAUGUGGAGGAACACCGAUGGCGAAGGCAGCCUCCUGGGCCAGCACUGACGCUCAUGCACGAAAGCGUGGGGAGCAAACAGG